GAAAUGCGAUAAUUAAUGUGAAUUGCAGAAUUCAGUGAAUCAUCGAGUCUUUGAACGCACAUUGCGCCCCCUGGUAUUCCGGGGGGCAUGCCUGUCCGAGCGUCAUUGCUGCCCUCAAGCACGGCUUGUGUGUUGGGCUUCCGUCCCUGGCAACGGGGACGGGCCCAAAAGGCAGUGGCGGCACCAUGUCUGGUCCUCGAGCGUAUGGGGCUUUGUCACCCGCUCCCGUAGGUCCAGCUGGCAGCUAGCCUCGCAACCAAUCUUUUUAACCAGGUUGACCUCGGAUCAGUUAGGGAUACCCGCUGAACUUAAGC
rnacentral:misc_RNA from 1 species